GGGGAGGUUCCCGAGUGGUCAAAGGGGGCAGACUGUAAAUCUGUUGGUUACGCCUUCGAAGGUUCAAAUCCUUCUCUCCCCA
rnacentral:tRNA from 1 species